UUAACAAAAGUGAUGUCUGCAGUCGGAUCUAGAACAAACAGAUUUCAGAAACCAGAAUAUCCAUGCUGUCAAUAUAUGUGGUCAGUCAAGAUAGCAUCAAAACAAUCUGAAUUUCCUCUCGGUCAGCUAAACGUCAGAUGAUGUCGUGGAAAGGGCCACCGAGAGGGGGUUCGCAAUGCCAAAGUCGAAGGUGGCCAUCGAGAGGGGGUUCCAAUGCCGAAGUAGAAGGUGGCCAUCGCUUUGACCUGCCUGGACCUCCUGACCUUUCCCGACGCUCAAACAGCCAAUAUGUAUUGGAGGAGACCACUAGGCUAAUUGAUGCUUUGGAUGAGUGGACCAGGGGACGACAUGAGCAGGUAUAGGAGGACAUAAUAUUGUGCAACUUCGGAACCUGUCGAGCAACAGCCUGCAAAUCUAUGUAUAUAUAUUGUUCUGCGGCUAACAUGGGAGUUGUCAUCGUCCGCCGUAACAUCGAGAGGUACUUCAAUACAUUCCUGGCCCUAUAUGAGUACUCAGGGUAUCAAGACCGUCAUCUACAUGCUUGAGGAACAUAGCGGAUCAUUGCCAUGCGGCAAAUCAAACUUCUAUGUGGAUCAAUAGCGUAGAGUCCGGACAAGGUUGUGCCCGUCUCUAGGACCGCGGAGACCACCACAGAGGCAUCUGAUUCUAGUAUGACAGUAUCUUCAGAACAUCCAGGCAAGAAGUGGCUUUUUUUUUUGCGGGGAGGCAAGAAGUGGCUUUAACUUCUUCAACAUCAAAACGAGGCAUCUUUAGUAUCUUCAGCCACAAUACCAUGCAUGAAGACCACAGGUGGACGUGCUUGGACGGCAUCUUGGCCGCCAGCUACACGCCCUUCCAGGCGGCCAGACGGAGAUUCUUCGCCUCGGCAAUCGCCUUGGCCAGGAGCUACGCCGAGUUGUUGUCACCAAGGAUGGACGCCGACAGUAGCGUCGAUCUAUGUGAUACCGAUGGCGUUGGUUGUGGGGCGAGACCAUGGCGGGGCGACGCGUCGGUCUAUGUGAUACUGACGGCGUUGGUUGUGUGGCAAGACCAUGGCGGGGCGGCGGUAGGCCGUGGUGUGGAGAGGACACAUGCGGGGUGAGGUCGUGGAGGCUGACGGGCAGAGGAAGCCGGCAAAACAAGGCCGUGGCGGGGAGAAGCGACUUGUGUGACCGGAUGCUGUGCGGGUGAGGCGAGUGCCCUUUUUCUGACAAUCCGGUAUAAGGGGGAGUGGCUGAUGUGCCUGUCCGGCGAGAAAAGUGGCUGCAUUUUAUUUUUCUUUUCUGUUUUCAUGAACAUAUAGGAGUGGCUACUUGUACGGUGAGAGCAGUCCUAAUUACACACUGCAUUUUGUUCCUUAUUUCGGUGAGAAGGUGAUCAUAGUUCUUCUAUUUUGAUUAACCGUGUUACGAUAAAUA